rnacentral:rRNA from 1 species
GACGAACGCUGGCGGCGUGCUUAACACAUGCAAGUCGAACGGGAUCCAUGUUGUAGCAAUACUUCGGAAGAUCUAGUGGCGAACGGGUGAGGAACACGUGAGGAACCUGCCCCGGACUUCGGGAUAACAGUUGGAAACGAUUGCUAAUACCGAAUACCUCUGCGAAGUGGCAUCACUUUGCAAAGAAAGAAUUUCGGUCCGGGAGGGUCUCGCGGCCUAUCAGCUAGUUGGUGGGGUAACGGCCUACCAAGGCAUCGACGGGUAGCUGGUCUGAGAGGAUGAUCAGCCACACUGGGACUGAGACACGGCCCAGACUCCUACGGGAGGCAGCAGUGGGGAAUCUUGUGCAAUGGGCGAAAGCCUGACACAGCAACGCCGCGUGCGGGAAGAAGGCCUUCGGGUCGUAAACCGCUUUCAGCAGGAACGAAAAUGACGGUACCUGCAGAAGAAGGUGCGGUCAACUACGUGCCAGCAGCCGCGGUAACAC